rnacentral:rRNA from 1 species
GACGAACGCUGGCGGCGUGCCUAACACAUGCAAGUCGAGCGAUUUCCUUCGGGAAAGAGCGGCGGACGGGUGAGUAACGCGUGGGUAACCUGCCCUGUACACACGGAUAACAUACCGAAAGGUAUGCUAAUACGGGAUAAAGUGCUAUGAAGACAUCUUCGAAGCACCAAAGCUUUAGCGGUACAGGAUGGACCCGCGUCUGAUUAGCUAGUUGGUAAGGUAACGGCUUACCAAGGCGACGAUCAGUAGCCGACCUGAGAGGGUGAUCGGCCACAUUGGAACUGAGACACGGUCCAAACUCCUACGGNNGGCAGCAGUGGGGANUAUUGCACAAUGGGCGAAAGCCUGAUGCAGCAACGCCGCGUGAGCGAUGAAGGCCUUCGGGUCGUAAAGCUCUGUCCUCAAGGAAGAUAAUGACGGUACUUGAGGAGGAAGCCCCGGCUAACUACGUGCCAGCCGCCGCCGUAA